rnacentral:lncRNA from 1 species
UAGGGCAAAAAUGCAUCUUACAAGAUUAAUCUUAAUGAUAACUCAAUGUAUUCAGAAUGGGGCACUGUGGUUGCUGAACUUUGAUGUAAGAUUAAAUCUAUCCUAUUUUAAGGUGAGAUUAUACUGAGUAAACAGCCUUGUUCUUCCCCUUGUUGAUUAAUGAUCUAUAUUUACACAAGUCUAAUAGUUGUUUUCAGGCAGAACGUCAAAGGUUAUGUAAUUCUAAAUUGGAAAUGCGUAUAAAAUAAUAGCACUGUCAUUAGAGGACUUUAUCUCUUAAUUUUAUUGCCACAGGAGGAUUGACUUCUACUGUAUAAAUAGAGGUAAAUAGAAGAUGAUGCACUCACUGAUGAAUUAAGCAAAUCUAUGCAUUCUACUGAUGGUGCUGGUAGACAUGAGAAUGGUGAAUUCUGAGGAAGAAGCAGCUGGUGUGUUGACCCACUUCUAACUGAGGACUGAAAAUGCCAGCAGUUGAAAGUGAGGCAAAGGCAAAAACCAAAGUCCGCUUUGAGGAAAUCUUCAGACGCCAUGCUGGCCUGACAGAAAGAAAUAAAUCAAAGAAUAAGAAGUUUCAGUCUCAAGAGAAUAUCGUGGUGAGUUUGAACACAUGCAAGCUUUGUUUGGUUGCUUUCCUUAAUGAAAAAAAGAUCAAACAAAUGUAUUGUAGAAAGGAGAUGUAGGCAUUUUUAAAAAA